rnacentral:rRNA from 1 species
UACGAAGGGGGCUAGCGUUGUUCGGAAUUACUGGGCGUAAAGCGCACGUAGGCGGAUUGUUAAGUUAGGGGUGAAAUCCCAGGGCUCAACCCUGGAACUGCCUUUAAUACUGGCAAUCUCGAGUCCGAGAGAGGUGAGUGGAAUUCCGAGUGUAGAGGUGAAAUUCGUAGAUAUUCGGAGGAACACCAGUGGCGAAGGCGGCUCACUGGCUCGGUACUGACGCUGAGGAGCGAAAGCAUGGGGAGCGAACAGG